GAAAUGCGAUAAGUAAUGUGAAUUGCAGAAUUCAGUGAAUCAUCGAAUCUUUGAACGCACCUUGCGCUCCUUGGUAUUCCUUGGAGCAUGCCUGUUUGAGUAUCAUGAAAUCUUCAAAGUAAAUCUUUUGUUAACUCAAUUGGUUUCUACUUUGGUAUUGGAGGUCUUUGCAGCUUCACACCUGCUCCUCUUUGUUCAUUAGCUGGAUCUCAGUGUUAUGCUUGGUUCCACUCGGCGUGAUAAGUUAUCUAUCGCUGAGGACACUGUAAAGGGUGGCCAAGGUAAAUGCAGAUGAACCGCUACUAAUAGUCCAUUGACUUGGACAAUACUUUUAUGAUCUGAUCUCAAAUCAGGUAGGACUACCCGCUGAACUUAAGC
rnacentral:misc_RNA from 1 species